CAGUAGCCGCGGUAAUACGUAGGGUGCGAGCGUUAAUCGGAAUUACUGGGCGUAAAGCGUGCGCAGGCGGUUAUAUAAGACAGAUGUGAGAUCCCCGGGCUCAACCUGGGACCUGCAUUUGUGACUGUAUAGCUAGAGUACGGUAGAGGGGGAUGGAAUUCCGCGUGUAGCAGUGAAAUGCGUAGAUAUGCGGAGGAACACCGAUGGCGAAGGCAAUCCCCUGGACCUGUACUGACGCUCAUGCACGAAAGCGUGGGGAGCAAACAGGAUUAGAUACCCCUGUAGUCCCUGUCUCUUAUAA
rnacentral:rRNA from 1 species